GUUUCUUACCGUUCUCUGGAAAGUAGCUCCUCACACCCCCCUCUUCGAGUGUCCUAGAAUUCACAUUUUCUGGAUGUUGGUUGUCUGCCGCCAUGUGAGAUGUGCCUUUCACCUUCCACCAUGAUUAUGAGGCCUCCCUAGCCACGUGGAACUUCUCUAAUCACUUUAUGGUGGCGGAGUGUUCAAGAUUCCAGGCGAGAGCCCUUGUGCGCACCUUCUGGCUGAGCUGAAAGUCAUCACAAGUGUUCUUGCAGACAGGACUAUGAUACUAUGAAACAUCUUAAACAAAUGUUCUGAAUCUUCAUAAAGAUUGGGUCACCUACAGCACCCA
rnacentral:lncRNA from 1 species